rnacentral:snoRNA from 1 species
AUCCUUCGGUUCAUAAGCGUGAUGAUUGGGUUUAUCAUACUUUUGUAUGACAUGUGCCUCCUUUAAUCUUGUUACGACGCGGGCACAUUACCCAUCUGACG